AGCUUUAUAGUCAAAAAUGAUAUGAAAUUGCAAAUUUUAAGGAGUAAUUAUAUACUAAGGCUU
rnacentral:tRNA from 1 species